AGUGAACGCUGGCGGUAGGCCUAACACAUGCAAGUCGAACGGCAGCACAGUAAGAUCUUGCUCUUACGGGUGGCGAGUGGCGGACGGGUGAGGAAUACAUCGGAAUCUACUUUUUCGUGGGGGAUAACGUAGGGAAACUUACGCUAAUACCGCAUACGACCUACGGGUGAAAGCAGGGGAUCUUCGGACCUUGCGCGAUUGAAUGAGCCGAUGUCGGAUUAGCUAGUUGGCUGGGUAAAGGCCCACCAAGGCGACGAUCCGUAGCUGGUCUGAGAGGAUGAUCAGCCACACUGGAACUGAGACACGGUCCAGACUCCUACGGGAGGCAGCAGUGGGGAAUAUUGGACAAUGGGCGCAAGCCUGAUCCAGCCAUACCGCGUGGGUGAAGAAGGCCUUCGGGUUGUAAAGCCCUUUUGUUGGGAAAGAAAAGCAGCAGGUUAAUACCCCGCUGUUCUGACGGUACCCAAAGAAUAAGCACCGGCUAACUUCGUG
rnacentral:rRNA from 1 species